rnacentral:rRNA from 1 species
CGGACGGGUGAGUAACGCGUGGGUAACCUGCCUUAUACAGGGGGAUAACACUUAGAAAUAGGUGCUAAUACCGCAUAAGCGCACGGGGCUGCAUGGCCCAGUGUGAAAAACUCCGGUGGUAUAAGAUGGACCCGCGUCUGAUUAGCUUGUUGGCGGGGUAACGGCUCACCAAGGCGACGAUCAGUAGCCGGCCUGAGAGGGUGGACGGCCACAUUGGGACUGAGACACGGCCCAA